CCGGCGCCCGGACUUCCUCGCGAGAGGACCGGGCGGCGCGGGCGGAGGGCGCGCGGGCGCGCCCCCGAGGCCGCACGCCUGCUCGCAGGUGAGGCGUGGUCACAAGCGUGUGCGCGCGCCCGCCGGCCCCGGCCCGUUUCCCCGAAAUUCGCCCCUCGGCGUCGAUGCGCAGGCGUAGGUUUGGGAGUGAGGCCUCAGGGACUGCGGGGGUGAAGAAACUGGGCCCGUCUACUGAGGCUCAGUUUUCUUGGAGCCCACCAGAUGUGAUGCUUCUAGUCUGCCGUGGUACGAAGCUACUCCAUAGUGUGAGAAUCUCGUGACUGUCUGGCUAAUGGGAUAAAACUCCUCUCUCAGAGCUCCAAGAUCUGCUUGCUCACUUUGGGUGCUUUUUCCCCUCAGUCUUGCCGAGUUAACACUUAUACUGAAUCGCCUGAAAUCAAAUUGUAGAGAUCUUAUCUUCAGUGUAUUGCAAUGACCUUCUUAGCUGACCCUCAAGUAAUUUAACCCAUGUCCUAAUGUUCAAUUAAAAUUGCAUCAAAUACGUGAAA